rnacentral:rRNA from 1 species
GGACGAACGCUGGCGGCGUGCUUAACACAUGCAAGUCGAGCGGUAAGGCCCUUUCGGGGGGUACACGAGCGGCGAACGGGUGAGUAACACGUGGGUGACCUGCCCUCAGCUCUGGGGAUAAGCCUGGGAAGCCGGGUCUAAUACCGGAUAUGACUCCAUGACGCAUGUUGUGGGGUGGAAAGCCUUGUGCGGCUGAGGAUGGGCCCCGCGGCCUAUCAGCUUGUUGGUGGGGUGANGGCCUACCAAGGCGACGACGGGUAGCCGGCCUGAGAGGGCGACCGGCCACACUGGGACUGAGACACGGCCCAGACUCCUACGGGAGGCAGCAGUGGGGAAUCUUGCGCAAUGGGCGAAAGCCUGACGCAGCGACGCCGCGUGAGGGAUGACGGCCU